rnacentral:rRNA from 1 species
UAUUUGAUAAAAAUAAUAAAUAUUUUCUGCUCUAUGAAUAAAUUAAAUGGCUGCAGUAUUUUAACUGUACUAAGGUAGCAUAAUCAAUUGUUUUUUAAAUGAAAACUAGAAUGAAAGGGGUAAUGAAAUAUAAUCUUUAUUUAAUUUAUAAAUUGAAUUUAAUUGUUUAGUUAAAAAGCUAAAAUAUUUUUAUAAGACGAGAAGACCCUAUAGAAUUUUAUAUUAUAAUUUAUUUAAAUAUAAUAUUAUUAAUAUAAUUAAAUAUUGAUUUGGGAGGAAAAUUAAAUUAAAAACUUUAAUUUAUUGAAUACAUUUAUAUAUGAGUUAUAAAAGAUUUUUAAUAAAAUAAAAGAUUAAAUUACCUUAGGGAUAACAGCGUAAUAUUAUUUWAAAGUUCUUAUUAAAAAUAAUGUUU